GUGCAUGGUGGUGAAAUGGGCAAGCACUCUGGCUAGCACCCAGAGGUUCUCGGUUCGAAUCCGGGCCUCCUCA